GAUGAACGCUGGCGGCGUGCUUAAUACAUGCAAGUCGAACGGAGUGUUAGCAAUAGCACUUAGUGGCGAACGGGUGAGUAACGCGUUGGUGACCUGCCCCAAAGCGUGGGAUAACAGUUCGAAAGGGCUGCUAAUACCGCAUGAGGUCAUUUAGGUUAGAGGCUAAAUGACGAAAGGAGCGAUCCGUUUUGGGAGGGGCCUGCGUCCCAUCAGCUAGUUGGUAGGGUAAAAGCCUACCAAGGCGACGACGGGUAGGGGGCCUGAGAGGGUGAUCCCCCACACUGGCACUGAAACACGGGCCAGACACCUACGGGUGGCAGCAGUAGGGAAUAUUGCACAAUGGGCGAAAGCCUGAUGCAGCAACGCCGCGUGCACGAUGAAGGCCUUCGGGUCGUAAAGUGCUUUUUGAGGAGACGAGGAAGGACGGUAUCCUCAGAAUAAGGAUCGGCUAACUACGUGCCAGCAGCCGCAGUAA
rnacentral:rRNA from 1 species